GGACUGAUUUAUUCUCUCUGUGUUGGUGAGCUGAGCUGAAGGGAGAUUUGUCCUAGAUUCUUCCUUGACUGGAGCUUUCUAUGCAGGAGAGGCUUGCUGGCCUUUCUCUGACUUGGAAAGCAAUUAAUGGAGUAAGCUGAAAUAUAUGAGACUGAGAUGCUGAAUUUCAUUAUUAAAUAGAAAAGAAAACGUCCCUUCUACAUGAGGAGGAACCUUUUGAACAGGCUUCCAAACAAGUAAACCUUCACAAGAUUUUUCUAAACAUUUAGGUAAGUCAGACAUAUACACAAACAUAUUACUCAGCAAAAU
rnacentral:lncRNA from 1 species